GCAUCUGUAGCUCAGUGGAUAGAGCAGUGGCGUCCGAAGCCAUGUGCGCAGGUUCGACUCCUGUCAGGUGCA
rnacentral:tRNA from 1 species